rnacentral:rRNA from 1 species
CAGUAGCCGCGGUAAUACGUAGGUCCCGAGCGUUGUCCGGAUUUAUUGGGCGUAAAGCGAGCGCAGGCGGUUAGAUAAGUCUGAAGCUAAAGGCUGUGGCUUAACCAUAGUACGCUUUGGAAACUGUUUAACUUGAGUGCAAGAGGGGAGAGUGGAAUUCCAUGUGUAGCGGUGAAAUGCGUAGAUAUAUGGAGGAACACCGGUGGCGAAAGCGGCUCUCUGGCUUGUAACUGACGCUGAGGCUCGAAAGCGUGGGGAGCAAACAGGAUUAGAUACCCCUGUAGUCCCUGUCUCUUAUACA